CAGCAUCCAAAAAGCCUAUUACCUAAACAAACCCAAGGAGACUUGUGUGGACAGCUGGGAGAGAAGAAGGAUCAGGAGGGCUGGAGAUCUUGACGGUGUUUCACGAGAUCAUUGUCUCCUCAAAGCUGUCACUUGGGAAACCAAAGCCUAUUCUGCAGAUGGCAGGAGAAAGGUGUCAUCUGGAGGCAGCACGAUGGGAGACGACAUGAAGUUGUCGAUCUUCAUCCCUCUCUGAGGUGCAAGGGAUCAACACCGGCUUCAACUUUAAAGGUCCUGACUGAGAGCACCGCGUUUGUUGCCAGUCUGGGGAACUGAUCUUUCCAAUGACAUACGACGUGACCCUCAAGUCUUGACAGUUGAG
rnacentral:lncRNA from 1 species